rnacentral:lncRNA from 1 species
ACUCCCUCUAUUGCCUCUCCAGACCCAGACUUCACCCUCAGGUCACCCUCACCUGGACUUUGGGGUGCCCCACACCCCGCCCCAGGCCCUGGCCUCUGGAAUAUUUGGAAACUUGAACUGGGCCAGAGGCUUAAGCUCACAUCUGUCUGGAGCCUCAACUUUCUCCUCUGUAAAAUGGGCUAACACUGAAAGAACCUUGCAGAAUCUCAGCAACGUCACAGAGGACAUUGUUAGCACAGCCAGCGGGCUCCUGCUGGGCUGAGUUUGUGGGUAAUCCAAGCCUCGGCAGGUACAGUUCCUCCCUCAGCAGGGCCCAGGACACAGUGAGCAUACAAUAGACAUUAGCUGCUGUGGUGUCUUGAUUUCAAGCCCAGUGCAGAUGCAUCUGACUUACGAAACUUCAGUGACACCUGCUCUGUGCCAGACACUGAAGAUGGAGCAGUGAACAGCACUGACCCAGCCUGUCCUCCUGUUGCCUGCAGGCCAGAAGCAAGGUCUCGCUGUGUUACCCUGGCUGGAGUGCAGUGGCUACUUACAGGCAUGAUCAUAGCAUACUGCAGCCUCGAACUCCUGGACUAGAGCAGUUCUCCUGCCUCAGCCUCCAGAGCAGCUGGGACUGCAGACACGCACCACAGAGCCCAGCCUGAGUCAUUUUGAUUCUGUAACUGGCUUCCUCUCGGCGGGCAGGCUCACACCCUCCACCCCCAGCUGGAGAUGGAAGGAGGAUGCUCACCGCCCAUUCCUCAUGCAGGCCAUCGAUGGAAAUGUCAGACAGUGCGAGUCCACGCCUGAACACUUCUGGGGUCCGCUCUGGGACUGACACUGGCAGAUCCAUCGAUGCCGUUCCAUUGUUUGCUGACUUUCAUUGAUUCUAUGAGAAGUCUGCAGUCUUUUGCAGCGUUGUUUUCCUAUGUAUAAUUGUCUCCUCCCACCCCACUCACCCCAGCUGCUUUCCACAUUCUCUCUCUUUGAUUUUCAGCAGUCUGCCCAUGAUGUGCCUAAAUAGGACUUUCUUUGCAUUCAUCUUGGCUGGGGCUCACUGAACUUUCUGAAUCUGUAGAUUAAUUUUCUUUUUUCAAUAAACCUUGGAAUAUUUUCA